CAGGUUGUGUAUUUAAAUGUAACAAGAGACAUUGUCAGAAUACAUCAGCCAGCUGUACUCACGUUGACGGGUCGUGUGGAGGAGAGAGAGAGAGAAUAACUACAACGAAACCGACUGUACAGGGUGUGAUGAUGGACAUUAUGACCCAGAAUGCAAUUCCUCCUGCAGUGUCAGACACUGUAAAGCUAAUGGUGGAGCAUGUGAUCUCGUGACUGGUUUAUGUAACGGAACAUGUGAAGCAGGUUAGCAAGGAGACGACUGCACUCUCAGCUUUGCGCAAACUUCUCUGCCUGCUGAAAACCCAGGACCAAUUAUCGCUGGCGUCAUCGGUACCGUUAUGUUUC